CAAUAAUUUGGUUAUGGUUAACUGAUCAGCUACGUUAUUAAAGUACACAUGCAAAUUAUAGUGCUCCCGUAAAGCUAAAGCAAAAAUCUUAAAGAAUCUGCUCCCUCUCUCUCUUAUUAAUAUAAUUACAAUAGAAAUUACGCCUGCAGUGAACAAUACUGAUUAAACUAUGAAAAUAGGAUACGGUAAAUAACACCAAGACUGACAAAAUUCGUGCCAGCAGCCGCGGUUAAACGAAAAGUCUAAGCUAAUCUCUUCACGGAGAAAUGAAAUACCUAACAGACAAUAAAAAAGUCAAACAGAAGUACAAUUCUAAACCUAAAUAAAUAAAAUUGUCCUAAAACCAUUCAACAAAGUUAAGACCAAAACAAGGAUUAGAUACCCUUCUAUUCUUAACCUCAUUCUAUUCCCCCCCCCCACUCUCCUGGCACUACGAGUCCACACUUAAAACCUAAGAACUUGGCGGUGCUUCAACAUACUAGGGGAGCCUGUUUUCUAACCGAUAAUCCACGUUAACUCCUUACCUAAGCUAGAAACACAGCUUGUGUACUGCCGUCUAAAGUUUACAUAGCAAUAUAGUAAACUAAAAAGAUAACCUCUUACACGUCAGGUCGAAGUGCAGCCAACGCUUAGGACAAAAUGGGCUACACUACAUAAAACCUCAGACUACUAUUGAAAAAGAGUAUGAAGAUGGACUUAGCAGUAAAAACCUAUAUAUUUAUAGUCUUGAAGAAGCAAAAUGAAGCAUGCACACAUCGCCCGUCGCUCUUUCUGAAAAGGAAGAUAAGUCGUAACAUAGUUAGUGUAAUGGAAAUUGCACUUACCAAAAC
rnacentral:rRNA from 1 species